ensembl:lincRNA
GGAGGAGCCGGCCGGCGAGGCCGCGGCGGCGGCGGCCCUCGUGCCCGGGAGCGCCGAGGUGAAACCGUGCGCCGCGCCCGAGCGGGUCGUGGACCCCAGCGACAUCAGCCCCAGCGCCCUGCACGCCGCCGUGAGGGACUCCCAGCUGAACAUCGUCCAGGUGGAGGACGACGUCCCCGGGCUGGGCGCCUCCUGCCUCUACCUGGUCCCCUCCGCGCCGGGGGAGGGGGAGCAGGAGGAGGUGGGGGCCCCUCUCCGCGGUCGGGAGGCCGGGGCGGGGCCGGCCGAGGCCGAGGAGCCCGGGAAGAGAGAGCCCAAGGAAAACGGGCUCGUGCGGAUUUACACGGGCGUGUGCGAGCAGCUCAUGGCCCUGAACGAGGGGGACGGGAAUCUGGACCCCGGCCGGCACGCUCAGCGGGAAGCCGGACGGAACCCGCGCUGCCCGCCGGCCUGCGCCCCCGCUGAAUCGCUGUCCUGUCGGAGCGCUCGGCCUGGACGCAGCGCGGCAGAGCUCGGGCCCGGCGCGGAUCUCGCCGCGGGGGAGAGCAUCGCGCCUGUCAAGCGAGCCCGGGAGGAGGCCCUCGCCCGCAGCGCGCAGGGGCCGGGCCCCGUCAUCAAGAGGGUCUUCGACCAGGAGUGGUGCAGCUCCCUGUGGAGCUCCGCCGAGCCGGCCUGCGAGAGCAGCAGGGUCCCCCGACCGGACCGCCGGGACGCUGCCCACGCCGGGGCAGGGGUCUCCGAGCUGCGGGGGGCCGCGGUGAAGCAGGAGGUCGAUGAGCGGAGGGGGUUUCCCACGGCGGCGCCGGGCUCCCACCUGAGCUUGGUCCAGGUUAAAGACGAGCGCCCUGACCUGGGCACUGCCCCUCUUUACUCUGCCCGUGCCCACCCUGCGCCAGGAGAGCGCCGGUCUCUCCGUGUGAUGGAGGAUGUGUCCGGGCUGGCAGGGGGGCCCAUCAAGAGGGAGGCGGUUGAGGAGGAGCUGGUGCAGGUGUGUAUGAACGCGGAGGACAGCAGGCCGGAUUCCAGGCCUCAAGCGGAAAGGACGCCCCAGUGCGCGAGGAUGCCCGCCAGCGACCGCAGGACCCCCGGAGGCGCCCGUGUGGCCUUCGAGCGGGCGUCUGAGUCGGUGCCCGCCCAGAUCAAGCCCUUCCUGCGCAGGGUGAGGUACACGGUGUACCACGGGCCCGGGGCGGAGACCGGGUGCAAGGAGGAGCUGGACAGGGAGGAGGGACAGGGGGAGCCCACCGUCGUCGUCGUGUUGCAAACAGGCGCCCAGGCACCUUGCAGAACGGGGUCCGGCAGCUGGCCUGUCCGUCAGAUGAGAACCCCCAGAAUGAGACCGUUGGCGCCCCUGAACACACCCCAGUGCACACAACAAAUUUCCAGAGUCGUCUGGCGUACCACCUGGGGGGUGCUCCGUGUACCACAGUUUGAGAACCACUGGUCCAGUGCUCACAACCCAGUUCUCUCACCCCCUCCCUGUGGCAGACAUUCCAGUUCCGUCACAGGAUGAACCGAGGGGCUGUGGUCCGUCUGUCCCGGGACCCUGCAGCUCCUGAGGGGGCCUCUGGCCCCGGGACCCUGCAGCUCCUGAGGGG